GCUGGCAUGGCUCAGCAGGUAGAGCAACUGACUUGUAAUCAGUAGGUCGUGGGUUCGAUUCCUACUGCCAGCACCA
rnacentral:tRNA from 8 species